UACAGAGGUCUCAAGCGUUGUUCGGAUUCAUUGGGCGGAAAGGGUGUGUAGGUGGCGCGCUAAGUCGGGUGUGAAAUUUCGGAGCUUAACUCCGAAACUGCAUUCGAUACUGGCGUGCUUGAGGACUGGAGAGGAGACUGGAAUUCAUGGUGUAGCAGUGAAAUGCGUAGAGAUCAUGAGGAAGACCAGUGGCGAAGGCGGGUCUCUGGACAGUUCCUGACACUGAGACACGAAGGCCAGGGGAGCAAACGGG
rnacentral:rRNA from 1 species